GAUGAACGCUGGCGGCGUGCCUAAUACAUGCAAGUCGAGCGAACCACUUCGGUGGUGAGCGGCGAACGGGUGAGUAACACGUAGGUGAUCUGCCCAUCAGACGGGGACAACGAUUGGAAACGAUCGCUAAUACCGGAUAGGACGAAAGUUUAAAGGUGCUUCUGGCACCGCUGAUGGAUGAGCCUGCGGCGCAUUAGCUAGUUGGUAGGGUAAAGGCCUACCAAGGCGACGAUGCGUAGCCGACCUGAGAGGGUGAACGGCCACACUGGGACUGAGACACGGCCCAGACUCCUACGGGAGGCAGCAGUAGGGAAUCUUCGGCAAUGGGCGAAAGCCUGACCGAGCAACGCCGCGUGAAUGAUGAAGGCCUUCGGGUUGUAAAAUUCUGUUAUAAGGGAAGAACGACUUUAGUAGGAAAUGGCUAGAGUGUGACGGUACCUUAUGAGAAAGCCCCGGCUAACUUCGUGCCAGCCGCCGCCGUAAUAC
rnacentral:rRNA from 1 species